rnacentral:lncRNA from 1 species
GGUGGUGGUGGGUGGAGAAGAAAAUCUGAGUGAGAGAGAGGGGUUGGGGUUUGAGGUGGGGGUGGGUAGUAGAGAAGACAAUUUGGGGGUGGUGUGGGUAUAAUUUUCUUUUUAUUAAAAGUGUUUUUUAUUUAAAAUUAUUUAGUUAAAGAAAUGCCACAUGUCAAUGAGUCAUUGGUAGUUUUUUUCCUACUCAAGAUUCAUCAUU